CAGCCACGGGCACCCUGCAAGCUUUCACUGCCGUAAAGAAAAGCGCCUGGGUCAGGACCCACGGAAGAACGGAUCGACCUGGCUGUUUGGCUUAGAAACCUCGUGACCGAACUGUUGACUUCAGCAGCGCCGGAGGGGACAGGACUGGAACGGGAGAGACCAGUGAGGUGACCCUGCUGGGGUGAAGCUAAGGUCGGUGACGAACAAACAGGAGCUCAGGGCUGGCGACCCAAAUCCCAUCACUUGCGCUUCGGGGAUCCAGCCCGGCCCCACUUGUCGCCCUUGGGCUUUGUGGCCUCUCCCUGCCUCGUGCCCUUCCCAGAGCCUCCUCACCUCCCUGGCCUGCGAGUCCUUCCUUCAUUAAAUGGGACGGUGAAGGGGGAAAUAUACCCAAGUUGUACGCCAAUGUCCAUAGCAGAAUUAUUCACAAUCAGCAAAGCUGGAAACAACCCAGGAACCAUCAGCAGAGGAAUGGAUAAAGGAAAUGAAAGGAAAUGGGCUGGAUACACACGUUGGAGUCUUAGCCACAGAGAGGAAUGAAGUUCUGACACAUUCUACAACAUGGAGAAGCCUGGAGAACCUCUGCCAGGCAAAAGAAGCCAGGGACAAAGAACAAAUGCUUCAUGAGUCCAUUUAUAUGGGGCACCUGGAGCAGGGCAGUUCGAGGACAUAGAAGACAG
rnacentral:lncRNA from 1 species